GUUAUAUGUAUAGAAUACUUAAAUAAUGAUUUUGAUACAUAUAUAAAGUGAUAAGUGUAUACAUACACAACAAUACAAGUGCAUGUAAAUACAAGUAUAUGUAGUGUAGUGUCCAACAUUUACAACAAACAAAAUAGAUCUUAUUUAGUUUAAAAUGAAACCGAUUGUGAGAUUUGUGUCACGUGUACUACGCAAGAAGAGAGGGUAGGCGCGCGGGAGGGGUCCCCGGCUUACUAGCACGGAAUACUGACCUCACGAGCCAACAAAAGUGCAGCCCGCUUCGUUGUAAACACUAAACAGGUUUUGUCCUGCGUCGUAGGUAAUUAGCUCGCAUAAUAGCGUGCAGUCUCCUAUACCAUAAGAGGGAAAAUAAACAAUCAAAUUUAUUAUUUAUAUCGCUUGCCGUAUCCCGCAUAACAAUGAUGACGAUGUCCGCCGCGCACCCAUGCCAUAAGUCGAAUAACAGUACGACUACGGAGCGGCGGCGGCAGCAGUACAUUCCAUAUCUUCGCUGCGGCGAAUUUGAAACUGCCGCGGAACGCGGCGGUGCGACAGCGCGGCAGGACUAGCGACCAAGCUGACGCUCUGGUGAACGCUGCCUUCACGUCGCGGGACCACACCAACUCCUCAGCCAGAUAAGACGGGACUCUGUAUUUUAUAACCCCAAAGAGAAGUGUAGCCAAGUGCAGAUCUCUUCGCGUUUUCAUUUUUAAAAUAUUAGCGUCGUUUAUGUAAGGGGUUACGUGCGUGCGUGGUGGUAUAUUAAAACAAAACCUUGCGCAGGCGUUCUGCACACGCUGUAUUAUUUGUUGUGUGCGCUUCAACAGCCGCGAUCCAUACACCACAUCCAUAUAAUUAAAUUGUGAGAGAACUAAUGAGUCACACAAUUUAAUGCGAAUGUCAGCAUUAAUGUAAUUCCUGAUGUUAUAUAAUACCUUUAACCUAUAAAAACAAUUUC